rnacentral:rRNA from 1 species
AUUGAACGCUGGCGGCAGGCCUAACACAUGCAAGUCGAGCGAGCGGCGGACGGGUGAGUAAUGUAUGGGGACUGCCCGAUAGAGGGGGAUAACUACUGGAAACGGUGGCUAAUACCGCAUACUAUCGGAUAACCCAUAUGGGAUUAGCUAGUAGGUGGGUGAAAGGCUCACCUAGGCGACGAUCACUAGCUGGUCUGCGAGGAUGAUAAGCCACACUGGGACUGAGACACGGCCCAGACUCCUACGGAGGCAGCAGUGGGGAAUAUUGGACAAUGGGCGCAAGCCGGAUGCAGCCACGCCGCGUGUGUGAAGAAGGUUUUAGGGUUGUAAAGCUCUGUCAUCGGGGAGGCGGUACCUGCAGAGAAAGCAACGGCUAACUACGUGCCAGCAGCCGCGGUAAUAC